AACGCCUAAACGAGUAAACGAAGCCCUAAAUCCCUAAUGUUCACAGAAAUCACCCAGAUCCCAGAACUCCAGAAGCCAGAAGAGAAGAAGAAUCACUGAAAAAGCAGUUCACCACCCACAGUUCCACCGCCAUCGCCACCGCAUCCCGCAGCGACAGCAGCGACAGCGUUGAGCACGGCAACCACCACCGCGUCCUGUUUCGUCGCCGAACUCGCCCCCUGUUGCGUCGUCGCCGAGCUCGCCUCCUGUUGCGUCGUCGCCGAGCUCGCCUCCUCUUCCGUCGUCGCCGUUACUCGCCGCCGAUGGAACAAUCACAAAGUAACCCACAGCCACAAGAUAAUGCUGAGAAGUGAUUGAGCAAUCUGGAGCAGUUCUUGCAGGCGAUCACGCCCUCUGUGCCUGCUCAGUAUCUUUCUAUGGUUAGUUUUCAGUAACUAGCUGGCAAGUUUUGGCUGGAAUUUUUAAUAGUUGUGGCUGGGUUAGGGAAGAAAUCGUUUCUUUAACUAAGUUAUGUAAUUUAUUGUAGUAUUGUCAUUGUUUGUAACGGAUAGAUUUAAUGGCUGGUGUGACAAUAAGGAGUAACAUUUUGAAGGUCUGAAUAGGAUCAAUGAAUAGAAAGGAGAAGUGAGUUUCUCAUCCAUAAAGAAGUAAGCUAGUAAAUGAUUAUUUGGUAUUUGAUUAUUGACAGAUUUCCAUUGUUUACAAGUCAUAUGACAGAUUUCCUUUAUUUUAAUGUGGUUUACGGAUUUGAUUCUCCUUCA